rnacentral:pre_miRNA from 1 species
GGAAGUUAAGAAACUGUUUCUUAACUUUUAACUAAAAAAGCUAAGAACUGGUUCUUAAAUAAAGACUUUAAGAACCGGUUCUUAGUUUUUUUAGUUAAAAGUUAAGAAACAGUUUCUUAACUUCC